AGUGAACGCUGGCGGUAGGCCUAACACAUGCAAGUCGAACGGCAGCACAGUAAGAGCUUGCUCUUACGGGUGGCGAGUGGCGGACGGGUGAGGAAUACAUCGGAAUCUACUUUUUCGUGGGGGAUAACGUAGGGAAACUUACGCUAAUACCGCAUACGACCUACGGGUGAAAGCAGGGGAUCUUCGGACCUUGCGCGAUUGAAUGAGCCGAUGUCGGAUUAGCUAGUUGGCGGGGUAAAGGCCCACCAAGGCGACGAUCCGUAGCUGGCCUGAGAGGGUGAACAGCCACAGGGGGACUGAGAGAGGGACGAGACGGAUAAGGGAGGCAGGAGUGGGGAAUAGUGCAAAAUGGGAGGAAGCAAGAGGAAGCAACGCCGCGUGCGGGAUGAAGGAAUUAGGGUGGAAAACCGCUUUCGCAGGUGAAGAAGGGGGAGUGACGGUAAGGGGUAAAGAGGAAAGGGCUAACUACGUG
rnacentral:rRNA from 1 species